rnacentral:ncRNA from 1 species
CUACGUCAUUUAGAGGAAGUAAAAAGUCGUAACAAGGUUUCCGAACAAGUCACGGAACGGGAGUGAUUCCUUCCGCGGUGAACACUUAUCGAAGCCUUGGAAUGCGGCCUCGCAAGAGGUAAGCCUGGCGACUCUUAAACAAUUCAGGCCUCGCGCAAGUCGGCACCCGGUGGGGGCCGGCGACACUUUCGAAUUGCGGGGACAUCCUUAGAGCUCAGGCCUACCAAACCGGAGGGGAAACCCGCCGGCGGCCCGUGUUAACAGCACGGGGUACGGUAACAAGGGCCCGAGAUUGGACAAUCCGCAGCCAAGUCCCUAAGGGCGGCGCCCGCCGCCUACGGGAAAGGUUCACAGACUAAGUGGAAGUGGGUAGGGGCCCGGACGGGCCCCCGCUUAAGAUAUAGUCGGGCCCCGAGGGAAACCUCGGGGGGAAGUUCAUCGCUUCAGAGCCGUUCCGUAGGUGAACCUGCGGAAGGAUCAUUA